rnacentral:rRNA from 1 species
GAGUUUGAUCUUGGCUCAGAUUGAACGCUGGCGGCAUGCCUUACACAUGCAAGUCGAACGGCAGCACGGGAGCUUGCUCCUGGCGGCGAGUGGCGAACGGGUGAGUAAUGCAUCGGAACGUAUCCUGGAGUGGGGGAUAACGUAGCGAAAGUUACGCUAAUACCGCAUAUUCUGUGAGCAGGAAAGCGGGGGACCUUCGGGCCUCGCGCUCUUGGAGCGGCCGAUGUCGGAUUAGCUAGUUGGUGAGGUAAAGGCUCACCAAGGCGACGAUCCGUAGCAGGUCUGAGAGGAUGAUCUGCCACACUGGAACUGAGACACGGUCCAGACUCCUACGGGAGGCAGCAGUGGGGAAUUUUGGACAAUGGGGGCAACCCUGAUCCAGCCAUGCCGCGUGAGUGAAGAAGGCCUCGG